rnacentral:lncRNA from 1 species
CCUCGAGCACUCUGGCGCUCGAUGCAUAGUCAUGCCGUGUCACCUGUCUCAUGCGUGGCACGACCAGAUAUCUGAGGACUGUUCUCUGCGCUUCCUUCAUAUCGGUGAGUGUGUUGCCCGGGAGCUCAGGGAAGCAAAGUUGAAGCCACUGGAAAAAGGAAGUAAUGUAAGGAUUGGAGUGCUUGCUGCAGAUGCAACUUUAACGGCUGGUUUUUACCAAGAAAAGCUACAAAGUCAGGUACACAUUCAUCCUAAUUUUGUUUUUCUUGCUAAUUUAUCAAAUUAUGUGAAAACCAUGAAGAUAACAAUUCCGAUUUUCUUCGAAAACAUUACUUGUAUUUUAAGUCACCCGCGAAAAACAUAUUUCGGUGCAAUGGCAAUGGACAGGGGUUUGAUGUUGUGGUACCUGACAAGCAAACCAUGGAGCAUUUGGUGAUUCCCACAAUUGAAGCGAUAAAAAGACGGGACAUGGAGGGGGCACGAAACCUGUUAAGCAUUGCAGUCCAGGUCCUGCUGGUGAGGGCGGUGAACACCGUGAUCAUUGCUUCGGACGAGUUGCAGGGCGUUCUGCCUCCGGACGAUCCUCUUCUUAAGAAAUGUAUCGACCCCAUGGACGCUUUGGCUAGGUCGACAAUAAAAUGGGCAAAGGCUACAGGCAAAAGUGGAUAAGAGGUCGUAGCAACAUGGCUAAAUAAAAUGUACAAAAUCUUCGUGUCAUUGCCAUAUUUCUCUUCAUUUCUGAAGAUAUUUG